GACGAACGCUGGCGGCGUGCUUAACACAUGCAAGUCGAACGGAAAGGCCCUGCGUUUGUUGGGUUCUCGAGUGGCGAACGGGUGAGUAACACGUGAGUAACCUGCCCUUGACUUUGGGAUAACUUCUGGAAACUGCGGCUAAUACCGGAUAGGAGCUCCUGCUGCAUGUUGGGGGUUGGAAAGUUUCGGCUGUUGGGGCUGGACUCGCGGCUUAUGAGCUUGUUUGUGGGGUAGUGGCGUACCAAGGGUUUGACGGGUAGCCGGCCUGAGAGGGUGAACGGCGACAAUGGGACUGAGGUACGGCGCAGUCUCCUACGGGAGGCAGCAGUCGGGAAUCUUGCACAAUGGGCGGAAGGCUGAGGCAAAAACGCCGCGUGCGGGAAGCUCGGUUAUGGGUUGUAAACAGAUUUGGCAUGUGACGAAGAGUGAGUGACGGUAAUGGGUAAAGAAGCAACGGCUAACUACGUG
rnacentral:rRNA from 1 species